rnacentral:rRNA from 1 species
UACGUAGGGUGCAAGCGUUGUCCGGAAUUAUUGGGCGUAAAGAGCUCGUAGGCGGCUUGUCACGUCGACUGUGAAAACCCGGGGCUCAACUCCGGGCCUGCAGUCGAUACGGGCUGGCUUGAGUGCGGUAGGGGAGACUGGAAUUCCUGGUGUAGCGGUGAAAUGCGCAGAUAUCAGGAGGAACACCGGUGGCGAAGGCGGGUCUCUGGACAGUUCCUGACGCUGAGGCACGAAGGCCAGGGGAGCAAACAGG